AAGAAGAAGAAGAAGAAGAAGAAGAAGAAGAAGAAGAAGAAGAAGAAGAAGAAGAAGAAGUAGGAGGAGUAGUAGCAGCAGUUUAGAAAUGGAAACAGUUUUCCCUGACUGCCAGUUUCCAAAGUGAAGACAGACAUCUCAGAGGAGAAGGAGUUGACAGUGGUGGUUUCUGCUCUCUCCAUUCCUGGUCUCCAUUAUUAACUCCCCUUCAGACAGGCCUUUUCAUCCUUAUUUUAUUGUUAAUACACUUGCAAGACAUUUAUAGAGCUGUUGGUAAGCAAACCUGCCAAUUACUAAAAAAACCCAAACAAACUACUCCUGUUUCCCUCCUUCCUUUUUCAGGAAAUAAAUACUGUAAUUGUUGAGCCAUCCACUGAGGAAAUUUUGAGGGUAAGUGCUCUUAAAAAGAUGAUCUCUGUGUUUGCUUAUGUUUUGCAUAUAUUAAGGAAAUAGGUGGGGACAAAACACAUUUUGAGAGCUGUUUCUCUCCCUCUCUUCCCAGGAAAUCAGCAUCUCACUGCCACCUCUCCUGUCACCUCUUCAGUCAGCAGCUAGAACAGAGACUUCCAAACUUCCAUUGGAGGCAAAGGUAACCCAGCCCAAUUUUGCCAGGGCUUCUGAUAAAUUACAGGAGAUCUUUCUGCUGAGCAGAAGUCCUGCCCAGCUGUUUGGCAGCACUUAGAAUGUUUUAAAAAUAUUUAUUCAAAAGUGCCACAUGCCCCUAAUAUGCCAUUAACAGUUUUGAAGUCAGUAGAUGUAGUGAUAAGCAAUAUGCUAAGCUACUUUGUCUUUUAAUUCUAGGAACCCCAACCUGAUGCAUCUGCAGCACAGAAGCAGGAGCUCUCCAGCCCCAGCAAAGAGGAUGGCAGCAGUACAGCCCAGCAGCUGGGGCUCAGGGAGCCCCAAGGGCAGCCCCAGCUCCCCAGCCUGUGACACACAGGACAGCUCCAGUGACAGUGAGGAGGAGCUUCCCAGGGUGCUGGACCUGCCAGCACGAAAGCCUGAGCCACCAGCUUAUAACAAGUGGUGGCUGGGCAACCUGCUGAGCCAGGCAAAGCGAGGAGCAGGGCCAGGAGAGGCUCCCAGGGGAAUUGCCUGUGGGAAUGGACGUGAGCAGGGCAUCAGCAGCAGCUCCUGCCAGCAGCUCUCCAAGGCAAGGAAGCCUCCUCACAAGAGCUGGGGCCAAGUGGCCAAGAAAUCCCAAAAAACCUGUCACCAAGUGGCCAAGGGUUCUCAGAAGAGCACUGGCAAACCAGCCAAGAUGUCUCAAAAAAGCUCUGGCCAAAGGCUCAAGGAUUUGCACAAGAGCUCUGGCCAAAGGCUCAAGGAUUUCCACAAGAGCUCUGGCCAGGUAACAAAGGAUUUCCACAAGAGCUCUGGCCUGGUAAAAAAGGAUUUGCACAAGAGCUCUGGCCAGGUAACAAAGGAUUUCCACAAGAGCUCUGGCCAAGCAAUGAAGGACUCUCAGAAGAGCUGGAGUCAAGUGGCCGAGUGUUUUCCCAAGAGCUCUGGCAAUGUGACCAAGGAAUUUCACACCAGCUCUGUCCAAGGUGCCAAGGUUUCAGAGAAGAGCUUUGGCCAAGAAAAAAAGACUUCUCACAAGAGCUGUGGCCAAGUGGCCAAGGACUGUCACAAGAGCUCUGCCCCCCUGGCAAAGCAUUCCCAGAAGAGCAGUGGCCAGGUGGACCAGGCUCCUCAGCAAACUCCUCAGACCAAGCAGAGCUGCCUGGAGCCCCCUGGGCUCACCAAGGGGGCUGUGCCUAAGGAGCCUGUGGCUACCAAAAGGCCUGGAGAGCCCCUGGAGCACGACAAAUCCAAAAGAGUGCGGAAGGGCAAGAGCUAGCCUGGUGCUGUGGGGGUCACAGAGCAGUCCUGCAAGGCUCAGCUGGAAGCCAAAGAGGUAGAGAAGCCAAAACCCAUCGAGAGUAAAGACCCAAAGCUGGCACUUCAGAAGCCCUCUGAGCAGAGAAAGGACAAGGGCUCCCCCCAGGCCAGCACCAAAGGCUUUCUGGACCCUGAGCUCCCAGGAGAUGCUCAGGAACGUGAUGCUCUCACUCCCAAUGGCCACAGGCCUGGGGAUUUGCACAAAGAGAAAGUGCCCUCACCUCCUGAGGAGAAGUUGUUCUUGCCUGCAAGGAAGCCAGACUUGAAGAGAAAAGAAAUGAAGAGUCCUGAGGAGUCCCCUAGAAAGAAGAAGGUGAGAGGGGCAGGGGAAGAUGGGUUUGGACAAUGACCAGGGUGGUGUUUGAAAAACUCAUGUGGAGAUUCCCUUCAGAGGUUGGCACUAGAGCCAUGAUCCUUCUCCUCUGAAGGUAGCUCCAGUGUGUUAUUUGUAUGUUGGGAAAGCAGGUACAGUGGGGUCCCAGUGCUAGGCAAGAGGAUUGAGGGGGGGGUCACAGGAUCCAAAAUGGGGAUUCCGGGGGUUCCCCUGCCCGGGAAUGGAGGUUCAGGGGGGUUCUCAGUGCCUGGAAAUGGAAGCUCAGGUCUGGGAAGAUAGGUUCUAAGGAUAGUGCAGAAGGCAAUCUUUCCCAAUGAAUUACAGCUGUACUGAUUACUGAGGAGUGGAAACAGCCUUGCCUGCCCAAUGAGGGUGGAUGUUAUAAAAGAGUGGUCAGCUGGCCACAAGCUGCUGAUGGAGCUGGUGUGUGCUGUAGUUUGGGAUGGAGUGUGCUGGCUGUGCUGUGAGAAAGUAAAGAACAUGCAGUCGAGCAAGGGACAGAUAAAUUGUUGUGUGAAAGACAGACAGGGUUAAGCAUCCAGGUAAGGGACACGUUGGGGUUACCCAGUCAUGUAAAAGGAAAAAGGAAAGAGAGAAGGAGUCAGAGCUGUGUGGAGCUGCCUAUGAGGAAAGGAGUUAGAGUUGCCUGAAAGAAGUUCAUUGAGAGAAGGCAUGAGAAGUUUUCAAUAAAGGUUGGUGAUGAUGCCAGUUGUGUUCAUCUCAACGUAAUAACUACAUCUCCCCAUGUCCCCACCCAUGUCUCAGUUCAAUGUCUUUAUUUUUACCCCAAGGUUGGAUGUUUUAAAGGGAUGAAGAGAAAUCAAAAGCAAAUCAAGGCCAAAAGAAAAGGAUUUCUGUGUCUGUGCAAGCUGAAAAUCCAUGUAUUUGGGAGGGAGGGAAGAACCUUUUUUGAAGGGAUUUCCAUCCCAUUGUCUCCAAAAUCUUGGUCUUUGCCCCAGUUCAUCAGCAUUUGAUUGUGGAAGACACCCUUGGGCAAUAGGAAAUCAAACUCCUGGAAUUGCUGAGGUUGGAAAAGACCUUCAGGACCAUUCAGUAUUUCUGGACACUACCAGAAGUUAGGAUUGAAGGCAGAAGAUUAUCUGGGGUUGAAAGUCAACAAAUUCACUCUCCCCAAGGAAUUCCCAAUGUCCGUUUGCGUCCCAAUGGACGUUCCUGCCCCUGAAUUCAUUCAAGUCCCCACAGACAGACAGAUGAUGCAGAGCCCCCCCAGCCAGGUGUCUUCCCAACACGGAUCAGCAGCAACACAGAUCACCAGGGCUCUGCCCAACGGGGGUCACUGAGGAUCAUCCAAAAGACAGGAUGAUGCAGAGUCCCCCCAGCCAGGUGUCUUCCCAACACGGAUCACCAGGACCACGGAUCACCAGGGCUGUGCCCAACGGGGGUCACUGGGGAUCAUCCAACACUGAUCCUCCAUGGGGGAUGGAGCUGGAGCAGAGCACGAAGCUCUUCCCACACUCAGGGCACUCACAGGGCUUCCCUUAGUGGAGCCUCCGUUGGUGUCGUGUCAGGUGAGAGCUCCUGGAGAAGCUCUUCCCACACUCAGGACACUCGUAGGGCCUCUCCCCAGUGUGGAUGUGCCAGUGGAUCUUCCCACACUCAGGACACUCGUAGGGCCUCUCCCCGCUGUGGAUGCGCCGGUGGGCAGUGAGAUGGGAGUUGUGCUUGAAUCCCUUCCUGCACUCAGGGCAGCGGAAGGGCCUCUCCUCUGUGUGAGUCUGCUCAUGUCUGAGGCAAUCAGAGCUGGUCUGAAACCUCUUCCCACACUCAGGACACUCAUAGGGCCUCUCCCCUGUGUGGAUGUGCUGGUGUUUUCUCAGGGUGGAGCUGUCCCCAAAGCUCUUCCCACAUUCCAAGCAGGUGUAGGGCCGUUCCCCAGUGUGGAUCACCUGGUGCCGCAUCAGAUCAGAUACUGUGCAGAAACUCUUCCUGCAUUUCCCACACCCGUAGGGCUUUUCCCCAGCGUGAAUCAGCUGGUGCCGGAUGAGGGCGGAGCUUCGGCUGAAACCCUUCCCACAUUCCCCACACUCGUAGGGCUUCUCCCCAGUGUGGACCCUCUGGUGCUGGAUCAGGUCAGAGCUGCACCUGAAACCCUUCCCACAUUCCAAGCACUUGUGGGGCUUCUCCCUUCUAUGAGGCUUCUCCACCAGCUCUGAGCUCUGCCUGGAUCUCCGGCCGCCUUCCUGGCUCAGGGAGGGUCUUUCGUCCUCGCAGCUCCCUGGGCUGGGUUUGCAGCCGCUCCUCCACUGAGAUCUCUGGGGUUUUCCCACCACCUCCAUCUAUACAUGCCUUGGGAACGAAACAGCCUGGUUUGGGGGAAAAAACAAGAAGAUAAAACUAUGUGCUGGGAGUUCCUCCUUGCCCAAGUUCAACUCAGGAAGUCAUUGGGCAUCUUGUGUCUGUAAGAACCUCCAAAACACCAGGAUUCAGCCCAAAAAUCCUUCAAACAUCAAGAUACAAUUUAGAAAACCUCCAAACAUCAAGACUCAGCCAAAAUCCCCUCCAAAAUAUAAA
rnacentral:lncRNA from 12 species